GAUGAACGCUGGCGGCGUGCCUAAUACAUGCAAGUCGAGCGAACGGACGAGAAGCUUGCUUCUCUGAUGUUAGCGGCGGACGGGUGAGUAACACGUGGAUAACCUACCUAUAAGACUGGGAUAACUUCGGGAAACCGGAGCUAAUACCGGAUAAUAUUUUGAACCGCAUGGUUCAAAAGUGAAAGACGGUCUUGCUGUCACUUAUAGAUGGAUCCGCGCUGCAUUAGCUAGUUGGUAGGGUAACGGCUUACCAAGGCAACGAUGCAUAGCCGACCUGAGAGGGUGAUCGGCCACACUGGAACUGAGACACGGUUCAGACUCCUACGGGAGGCAGCAGUAGGGAAUCUUCCGCAAUGGGCGAAAGCCUGACGGAGCAACGCCGAGUGAGUGAUGAAGGUCUUCGGAUCGUAAAACUCUGUUAUUAGGGAAGAACAUAUGUGUAAGUAACUGUGCACAUCUUGACGGUACCUAAUCAGAAAGCCACGGCUAACUACGUG
rnacentral:rRNA from 1 species